GAUCCCACUCCAAAUCAACCAACAUCAAGAACAGAAAAUUCGGAGCCCUAGCUCUCAUUCUUCACUCCCUCUGCACUAGUUCACACCAAAUCGGAACCCUAGCUCUCCUUCAUCACUACCAGACUAUUCGGACCAAUCACUUCACACUACCGACAUCGGUCGUUUAUCCAACGACGGAGGCGGUUACAUACGGUGGCCCCCGCAGUGGAUACGGUUCCGACAUCACCGUCAAAAUCUACGUCUACGAUGAAACUGAAAUUGGCGGCGUUAAAGAGCUGUUGUACGGACGUGACUAAAUCAUGACUCAAGGCCCGAUUGGGCACUCAGGAAGAUGCAAAGAAGCUUGAUAGAGGUGCUAAAAACAAAUACACAGUGUGAGGCGUGCCAUGUUUUUUAGUCUUAACUCAAGAAUUCAACUAUUUAUUUGUUUUUAAGGCAUUUUACAUUGAAAGUAAUCUUGCAAAUUAAGUUAGUUACAUGGCAUAUCCUAACUUC
rnacentral:lncRNA from 1 species